CUCAUUAUUCUGGUUUUGCUUGUACUUAGAAUAAUUUUUUUAAUUACCUCUUGCCUCACCUCUUGGACAUAACAAAAGGGUGUCGCACAGAGAAGGGCCAGGAUCUCUUCUCGAUCAUCCCAGAGUGCAGGACAUGGAAUAAUGGGCUCAAGUUACAGGAACCCAGAUUUCAACUGAACAUCAAGAAAAACUUCCUAACUGUUAGAGAGAUGUCAACCAAGGUUCUGACUGGAUCACUGGCCAGAGCAGCAAGAAAACCCUAACAAGAUAUGUGUUGGGCCAGAUAUAAUCUGAGAAGGAAGAAUGCAUGAAUACCUAUCAUGUAGGAAAGCACUGAUGUUGCAGUUAUAAAUUUCCAUGAUGUUAAGCCUGGAACUUGUUAUAUUGGAAGCAGCCCUAUGAUUGUAAUCCUAUGCGCAGUUACCUACUGAAGAAUGUCAUGUUUCUGAAUAAAUGCAGAAAUUGUGCUGCAGAAAUCUCAUCUUUGAUAGAUGGAGACUGAAGUAAAGGCUUCAUAGUCAAGUUUGUGCUCACAAAGAAAAUGUAAUAAUGAAAGAAUGCCACGCAGUGUCUUAAUUUACUCCUUCUGUAUUGAUCACUAAGUGGCAGCUAUCCUUUUCAGGCCUUCAUUCCUUUUGUUUGAGAAGAUUUAAUUCUGAAGCAUAGUUAACUUAUUUGUGUAUUUCAAUAUCUAUGAGAAAACACAGCUAGGCCUGCUGAGAGUAGUUGGGAUUUGAAUAACUAUUUUGAAAUAGCUUAAUAUUUACUGUUGUUGUCUCUACUGUCUUGAAUAUUUCAUGUCACACAAUCACCAGUUCAGUAAACAAAGCCAAGAGAAAACAAAUAUACAAAUAAAGCAAUAAAUCUAUAGCUAAUAAAAUUAAUGUCACAGUUCCAAGGGCUUUGUGGUAAGUCUCACUGAUUUUAAAUUUUAAACAUUUUUAAGAUAGUCAUUCUAAGAUUAUGAACAGCUAAAGACAAAGAUGCAUUCACACUGACAUUUAACAGUGGAUUUAGAAUGAAACCUGCACAUCAAACUUCCCAUUUAGUGGUGGGUUUACUUAUUUCUACUGGUAGUUUCAUCUUAAAACCAGCUAAGGCAUAUCUGUAAUUGCACAAAUCCUUAUCUAUGUUGUACAUUAUCACAAUGAAUGUGGGAAGGCUUGUCUCAUCCCUUUGUUGUUCAUUUCUGUAGAUCUUUCUGGUCCUUGGAAUAGGUGAUUCAAUAGUACACCAGCUAUAUUUUUUAUUUCAAAAUUUCUUUUAUUUCAUUAUUUCAACAUUACAAGUGAACAUAAGCUAAUCCUUCAUAUAUCUGGCCACCCCACUUAUUGUCAUCUACCGGAUACAAAUCUUGUGGAUUUGCUUUGAGUAGAAUAUGAGUAUUGGUUUGUUAGCCUAAGAAUUUUCAAGAGGGAAUGAACAUAUAAAAAUGUGUGUAUAAAUAUCUAAAAUGAUCUUCAAUUAAAUUAUUUCAAACUUCAUG